rnacentral:rRNA from 1 species
UUUGGUUAAGUUAGAAAGGGCGCACGGUGGAUGCCUUGACACUAGGAGUCGAUGAAGGACGGGACUAACGCCGAUAUGCUUCGGGGAGCUGUAAGUAAGCUUUGAUCCGAAGAUUUCCGAAUGGGGAAACCCACCAUACGUAAUGGUAUGGUAUCCUUAUCUGAAUACAUAGGGUAAGGAAGACAGACCCAGGGAACUGAAACAUCUAAGUACCUGGAGGAAGAGAAAGCAAAUGCGAUUUCCUGAGUAGCGGCGAGCGAAACGGAACAUAGCCCAACCCAAGAGGCUUGCCUCUUGGGGUUGUAGGACAUUCUAUACGGAGUUACAAAGGAACGAGGUAGACGAAGCGACCUGGAAAGGUCCGUCGUAGAGGGUAACAACCCCGUAGUCGAAACUUCGUUCUCUCUUGAAUGUAUCCUGAGUACGGCGGAACACGUGAAAUUCCGUCGGAAUCUGGGAGGACCAUCUCCCAAGGCUAAAUACUCCCUAGUGAUCGAUAGUGAACCAGUACCGUGAGGGAAAGGUGAAAAGCACCCCGGAAGGGGAGUGAAAGAGAUCCUGAAACCGUGUGCCUACAAAUAGUCAGAGCCCGUUAAUGGGUGAUGGCGUGCCUUUUGUAGAAUGAACCGGCGAGUUACGAUCCCGUGCGAGGUUAAGCUGAAGAGGCGGAGCCGCAGCGAAAGCGAGUCUGAAUAGGGCGUUUAGUACGUGGUCGUAGACCCGAAACCAGGUGAUCUACCCAUGUCCAGGGUGAAGUUCAGGUAACACUGAAUGGAGGCCCGAACCCACGCACGUUGAAAAGUGCGGGGAUGAGGUGUGGGUAGCGGAGAAAUUCCAAUCGAACCUGGAGAUAGCUGGUUCUCCCCGAAAUAGCUUUAGGGCUAGCCUUAAGUGUAAGAGUCUUGGAGGUAGAGCACUGAUUGGACUAGGGGUCCUCAUCGGAUUACCGAAUUCAGUCAAACUCCGAAUGCCAAUGACUUAUCCUUAGGAGUCAGACUGCGAGUGAUAAGAUCCGUAGUCAAAAGGGAAACAGCCCAGACCGCCAGCUAAGGUCCCAAAGUGUGUAUUAAGUGGAAAAGGAUGUGGAGUUGCUUAGACAACUAGGAUGUUGGCUUAGAAGCAGCCACCAUUUAAAGAGUGCGUAAUAGCUCACUAGUCGAGUGACUCUGCGCCGAAAAUGUACCGGGGCUAAAUACACCACCGAAGCUGCGGAUUGAUACCAAUGGUAUCAGUGGUAGGGGAGCGUUCUAAGGACAGUGAAGUCAGACCGGAAGGACUGGUGGAGUGCUUAGAAGUGAGAAUGCCGGUAUGAGUAGCGAAAGACGGGUGAGAAUCCCGUCCACCGAAUGCCUAAGGUUUCCUGAGGAAGGCUCGUCCGCUCAGGGUUAGUCAGGACCUAAGCCGAGGCCGACAGGCGUAGGCGAUGGACAACAGGUUGAUAUUCCUGUACCACCUCUUUAUCGUUUGAGCAAUGGAGGGACGCAGAAGGAUAGAAGAAGCGUGCGAUUGGUUGUGCACGUCCAAGCAGUUAGGCUGAUAAGUAGGCAAAUCCGCUUAUCGUGAAGGCUGAGCUGUGAUGGGGAAGCUCCUUAUGGAGCGAAGUCUUUGAUUCCCCGCUGCCAAGAAAAGCUUCUAGCGAGAUAAAAGGUGCCUGUACCGCAAACCGACACAGGUAGGCGAGGAGAGAAUCCUAAGGUGUGCGAGAGAACUCUGGUUAAGGAACUCGGCAAAAUGACCCCGUAACUUCGGGAGAAGGGGUGCUUUCUUAACGGAAAGCCGCAGUGAAUAGGCCCAAGCGACUGUUUAGCAAAAACACAGCUCUCUGCGAAGCCGUAAGGCGAAGUAUAGGGGGUGACACCUGCCCGGUGCUGGAAGGUUAAGGAGAGGGGUUAGCGUAAGCGAAGCUCUGAACUGAAGCCCCAGUAAACGGCGGCCGUAACUAUAACGGUCCUAAGGUAGCGAAAUUCCUUGUCGGGUAAGUUCCGACCCGCACGAAAGGUGUAACGAUUUGGGCACUGUCUCAACCAGAGACUCGGUGAAAUUAUAGUACCUGUGAAGAUGCAGGUUACCCGCGACAGGACGGAAAGACCCCGUGGAGCUUUACUGUAGCCUGAUAUUGAAUUUUGGUACAGUUUGUACAGGAUAGGCGGGAGCCUUUGAAACCGGAGCGCUAGCUUCGGUGGAGGCGCUGGUGGGAUACCGCCCUGACUGUAUUGAAAUUCUAACCUACGGGUCUUAUCGACCCGGGAGACAGUGUCAGGUGGGCAGUUUGACUGGGGCGGUCGCCUCCUAAAGUGUAACGGAGGCGCCCAAAGGUUCCCUCAGAAUGGUUGGAAAUCAUUCGUAGAGUGCAAAGGCAUAAGGGAGCUUGACUGCGA